CCACCAUUUACUGGAACUUUGAAUUUCCUGUCCACUUUAAACCCCUGCUAUCUACAAUUAUCUUUCUGCUAAAUGAAAUAAAAUACUGUGGAGGAACACGGAGAAAAGGGCACCUCAACAUGUUCAAGGUCAAGCAGCUUUUUACCAUAUCCAUAGUAUCUUGCUGCUAAAUGAAAGAAUUAUUGUGGAAGAACAGAGAAAAGGGCACCUCAACAUGUUCAAGGUCAAGCAGGAGCUACAUGUGCUUCUCCAGAGCUGAAAAUUUCUUGGGAUGAAGAGAAGAAAAAGCAAGAAGAAGCAGUUUUAAAUAUUGAUUACAUCUUCAUAGUACAAAAAAUUAUUCGAAAGAUGAUACUAUCUAUGAAAUUAGAAAGCUGAAGUGGCGUUCUGAUGAAUGUGAAAAAGUCCUUAAAGAACAGGACACCAAAAGUGCCACUCUCAAAUCAAAACACUCUGAAAGGCAGAGCAUAAGAAGAACUAGGACAAAUAAAGAAUCUAAAAGAGUCAAACCUAAUGAUGUAGAGAUUGAACAGAAAUGGGCUAUUAGAGAUCAAAUAUCUAAGUUAUUAUUGUUUUGCACAAAUGUGAUGUUUUUUUACUUAACUUUAAUUGACACAUUCAAUGUUAGAUAAGAAAAAUAUACCUAGUGUUGUAUUUUUGACAGUUAAAGUU